GUAUGGAUAUCAUUUGGAAAGUGACAUGAAAUGUUGUUAAAAAGUGAUGCAUACAAGUGUUUCAGAAGUCUGUCUAGGAAUAGAACAACAACUGAAGCUGACCAGUUGAUGGAAGAUACUGCAGAGUUUGGCAGGGAAAUUACCCAAGACAGCAAAGCGGCUCUUUUGGCGCAUUUACCAAGAGGACUAACAUGGCCACAAAUUCAUGAGAUCAUGCAGGAGCCGUACAGUAUAACAGCAGUACAAGUUCUAUAAAAGAUCCACGACCUACUGAAGCCCAGCUAAUUAACAAAAAAGUUUUUAAAAACUGUAAUUUUAUCCCACCUGGGUACUUAUAAUUUACUAAGCUGCCUUCACAAGUUUUAGACUUGCAAUUAUAUUUUAAACUGUCACUUGGAAAGUAAUACAUGUACAUGCAUUAUGUUCUGAAUUUCUUUGAACAAUAAAAUUAUAUAAAAGUAUUUUAAUGAAAUUGAGCACCUAAAUUGCAUUAAAGUGAAAGUAGCUGAGAAAAAUAGUAUCCUUGUGCUCAUGGGCAGCUACAUAUAUUGUGACAAACAUGAAGUAGCUAAAAUAACUUAAAUUUUUCAUUUUGUUUCUUGUAUAUCGUUUGUACAGGGUUCGUGAAUUGUUACUGUAUAUUACUUGACUUGCUUGUAUUUUGUUACUUUGAAUACAUGUUGUGAAGGUUGCAUUACACUUUUUUACUUUUAAAGUAGCGCCUGUUCUGUUAUGUAAGGGCCUGAUUUAUGAUAAUGGACCUAGAGGCUUUGUAAGCAUGUAUUAAACAACACUUGUUUGAUCUGAAUAAUUUGUUAAAUAAAUGUAACACAAUUUGUAAUCUGAUGUUAUAUUUUGAUGAAUUGUGAACAAAAUAAUACAUCAAAGAAACUAAGGCAUUAUGUUGAUUUUUUGUUUUGUUUUAAUCUAACCUUAAAUUAUGAUUUAUUUAAGCUGUGAGUAUUGUAUUAAUUUAAUACAUGAAUAUUGUUUUUAGACCAGAAAUUUCUUUUUCUAUUCAGUGACCAUGGUAAACGCUGGACAAUUUUCCAUGUUAUACCAGGCAUCCAUGGAAUAUUAAACAAAGAAAAACCCUGGAACAUUUUCCAGGGUUUUCCAGCCAGCAUGG